rnacentral:siRNA from 1 species
UUGAUCAAUGAAUUGUAAGUG